rnacentral:lncRNA from 1 species
GCCCCAUUUGGCACUUAAUAUAUAAACUUUCUUUUAAAAUCAUCGCUACUUCCACCAGAUCAAAUCAAAAUCAAUUUUCUCUUUUAAACCACACCAAAUAUUCAUUUUAUCAAAAACCAACCAAAUAUUCAUAUCCACAAUCAACCACAAAACACAUCAAUCAUAAAAUUACAUAUACAAUCAGCCACACACACAUACUCGAAAUGUAAUGAAAUAGCAUAGAGUUGUUAUAAAAAUAGUUCUUUCAUUCCUUCUAUUUUCAUUCCUUCUUAACGGUUAAAUAUUCCAUUAUUAAUCUAUAAAAUAAACCCUAUGUGCAUGAGUGUAUGGGGAAAAAGCCCUUACCUUGGCCGAUUUCCUUCCAAGCACAAUACUCUAGGCCUAAAUUCGUAGCUACAAUGUACACUGGAUAUAUCUCACUUCAAAGUUCAUUUCGACAAUCCGACGGUUGAAAAUGGAGUACUAUGUGUCAAGAAGCUACUGUCCAAAAAUAAAUAUGAUCCAACGGUGAACGAAGGAGAAAUCAAUAUUUUACGAUGACAGCUUUUGAAAAAACGAAAAUAGGUUGAUUGAAUUGGAACUUUCAUGAAUCAAAUAAAAAUGGAAUAGAUAGACUAAUAAAAGAGGACUUACACAAUUUGAAUUGAAGGAGAAUGAAACUAAAAACAAAGCUUGAUAAUCAUUUGAAUUAUAAAGGGAGUUGUAAGAGUAUAAAAUGUUUGUUUUGUGGAAGCUAGGUAGGNNN